rnacentral:rRNA from 1 species
GACGAACGCUGGCGGCGUGCUUAACACAUGCAAGUCGAACGAAGUGGCGAACGGGUGAGUAACGCGUAAUCAACCUGCCCUUCAGAGGGGGACAACAGUUGGAAACGACUGCUAAUACCGCAUACUGAAGGAGGGGAUUGCGUCUGAUUAGCUAGUUGGAGGGGUAACGGCCCACCAAGGCGAUGAUCAGUAGGCGGUCUGAUGUGAUGAACGGCCACAGUGGGACUGAGACACGGCCCAGGCUCCUUCGGGAGGCAGCAGUGGGGAAUCUUCCGCAAUGGAAGAAAGUCUGACGGAGCAACGCCGCGGGGGUGAUGACGGCCUUCGGGUUGUAAAGCUCUGUUAAUCGGGACGCGGUACCGGAAUAGAAAGCCACGGCUAACUACGUGCCAGCAGCCGCGGUAAUAC